UACGUAGGGUGCAAGCGUUUAAUCGGAAUUACUGGGCGUAAAGCGUGCGCAGGCGGUUUUGUAAGUCUGUCGUGAAAUCCCCGGGCUCAACCUGGGAAUUGCGAUGGAGACUGCAAGGCUGGAGUCUGGCAGAGGGGGGUAGAAUUCCACGUGUAGCAGUGAAAUGCGUAGAGAUGUGGAGGAACACCGAUGGCGAAGGCAGCCCCCUGGGUCAAGAUUGACGCUCAUGGCACGAAAGCGUGGGGAGCAAACAGG
rnacentral:rRNA from 1 species